ensembl:lncRNA
UAAGCAUUUUAUUGCAUUUAUCUUUGAUGAGGUAUGAGAGGUAGUGACAACCCUGGUUGCUGGGUUUGGCACCCAGGUUUACAAGGAGACAGUGGACAAACAAGGCUACAGGUGAAUAAUUAAGAGAAAUCCCUCUACAUUAUAGCUUAUAUUUCCAGGACCAACGAAUUUGUGGUCUUGGAACAUGAGUCAAUGAACACGUUUACCAUCCCAAUAGCAGCAGCUUUUUUCCUCAUUAUAUUCCCACAAAUCCAUCAAAACUCAGAACAGAAAGGGGUCCCCACAUUUGCCUUGCAUAUGUCUCUCCUAGGGCAACAUCAGCCUGCAAAAGAAGGCAGAAAACCUGAGAGGACUGACUGGAAAAUUCACUCCAAGGACAGACGCUAUUUAGAAGAGAUGGAGACAGUUCAGACAGAAAAGAGCACAUUGGCUUUAGAGAAGUUAGGCUUUUACCAAGUAGUGCUGUUACAAUCAGCAUUUUACAUAUGACGCAUAACAAAUAAACACACCAAAAAAUGUAAUUGUGAAAUCAAUAAACUUCUAAACAUCUGUGACUUGAAUGCUUGAAAUUAAUCUGGAAUCUGAACACCUGAAAUGAACAGUUUUGCAAAUGUGAUUCCCAGAUCAAGUGAACACUGUUGUUGACGUUGUUUAAAAAGAAAAGGUUUUGGCACAGCCCCAUGAAGAAGAGCAAGAGGCCGCUCAAUCCUCCCCCAGGGGCUUGCUUGCACAGGGCAUGUUAAAAACGUGCAGCUGGCAUACCUUUGCCCCACACCAGUCCAGAUUCUACCAUAUGGGACCAAUUUCGCAGUCAUUCUAAUGGGAGUCAAUGACAGCCACACCAUUAGCUCAGAAGAAAAGAAAACUUUCAUAAAAAGUCAGCCUGUAAACGCCUGAAUAAACUUCAGAGCUCUUAAAACAGUUACUAUGGAGUCACUAUGGAAACAAGCACCGAGUUAAGCCAAGUGCUAAUCUCAGCGAAAUACUAAAAAGAAUGCUUAUAGUCAUUUAGCUUCCUUAUUGCAAGGCUUGCUGCUCAUACACAAGGCUGGCUUAUACACCGAAGUCCCAGCCACUCUUUCCUUGCCCAAAAAUAUACACUAGUAUGCAACUUAGCAUACAAUUAAAGGAUAAAUUCAUCAAAACAGACUAGAAGCAAAGUACAGUAGCAAUGUAGGCCUCCUGCAACCCAACCCCACAUGCACUGGGGGAGAGAAAAGAGAGGAGUUGUCCUUACACAGCUGUGGUUUUGAACAGUGGUUUGCAGAUUCAGGAAGGAGUCUGCAGUCCAAGAGGUAAAUGGAAAUGCAUGCCUUUAAAACCCAUCUGCAGGCUUGAGCAACUACAACUUCCCAUUGAGCUUGUCAAGUGCAAUUGAUAC